AGGUAUUAUACUGUAAGCUGCUGAAAAAGUCUCCCUUUCAAUUUCUUUUUGUAACUUUCUAUUUUUAGGUUUGAGCAACAUGGCCUUGUUGCAUCUUACGAAAUCCAACAUAUAGUCUUUGAGCACAAAGGUUCUUAUAUGAAAAAUCAGGGCUCCCAAUUUCCGCUUGCCCACUAGCCAUUGACAAAACAAAACCCAGCCCUGGGGAUUAGAAAUUCACCCUUGGUGAUGGCAUCAUGGACCCUCCAGGCUUUCAGUAAUAGCCACUAGGUUGACCAGGUUAGUAGCAAAGGACGUGAAAUGUGAGCCCUAUAAAACAAUAUUGUAC